AAGAGUUGCGACACUCCCAUAGGGUGGCGUUGUACGCUUUCUUUCGGUCUACUUCCGGGUUGUGGAGGCUUGUUUAGUUCCUAGCACCGCUUCGACAGUGACAGCCACCGUUCAUUUGCACUGCAGGUUGUUGAGUAUAUGUGGAGUAUCCCGAGAGCCCUCACUGAAGACACGAAGACCCUCAUUGUUUCUCCCAUUGUCAAUAAAACAUACUAUUUCAUUCAUCAAAGCAUAA